rnacentral:rRNA from 1 species
UACAACUUUCAGCGGUGGAUGUCUAGGUUCCCACAACGAUGAAGAACGCUAGCGAAAUGCGAUACGUCAUGCGAAUUGCAAGACCUCGUGAAUCAUUAAGAUUUUGAACGCACAUUGCGCUUUCGGGAUUUUCCCGGUAGCAUGCUUGUCUGAGUGUCUGUG